rnacentral:rRNA from 1 species
GACGAACGCUGGCGGCGUGCUUAACACAUGCCAGUCGAACGGAAAGGCCCUGCUUUUGUGGGGUGCUCGAGUGGCGAACGGGUGAGUAACACGUGAGUAACCUGCCCUUGACUUUGGGAUAACUUCAGGAAACUGGGGCUAAUACCGGAUAGGAGCUCCUGCUGCAUGGUGGGGGUUGGAAAGUUUCGGCGGUUGGGUAUGGACUCGCGGCUUAUCAGCUUGUUGGUGGGGUAGUGGCUUACCAAGGCUUUGACGGGUAGCCGGCCUGAGAGGGUGACCGGCCACAUUGGGACUGAGAUACGGCCCAGACUCCUACGGGAGGCAGCAGUGGGGAAUAUUGCACAAUGGGCGGAAGCCUGAUGCAGCAACGCCGCGUGCGGGAUGACGGCCUUCGGGUUGUAAACCGCUUUCGCCUGUGACGAGGCGUGAGUGACGGUAAUGGGUAAAGAAGCACCGGCUAACUACGUG